UGGGGAAUUUUGCACAAUGGGGGAAACCCUGAUGCAGCGACGCCGCGUGAUUUAGAAGGCCUUCGGGUUGUAAAAAUCUUUUCUAUGGGAAGAAAAUGACAGUACCAUAGGAAUAAGGACCGGCUAAUUACGUGCCAGCAGCCGCGGUAAUACGUAAGGUCCGAGCGUUGUCCGGAAUCAUUGGCGUAAAGGGUACGUAGGCGGGUAAGCAAGUUAGAAGUGAAAUCCUAUAGCUCAACUAUAGUAAGCUUUUAAAACUGCUCAUCUUGAGGUAUGGAAGGGAAAGUGGAAUUCCUAGUGUAGCGGUGAAAUGCGCAGAUAUUAGGAGGAAUACCGGUGGCGAAGGCGACUUUCUGGCCAUAACCUGACGCUGAGGUACGAAAGCGUGGGUAGCAAACAGG
rnacentral:rRNA from 1 species